UACGUAGGGUGCGAGCGUUAAUCGGAAUUACUGGGCGUAAAGCGUGCGCAGGCGGUUCGUUGUGUCCUAUGUGAAAGCCCCGGGCUUAACCUGGGAAUGGCAUUGGAAACUGGCGGGCUUGAGUGCGGCAGAGGGGGGUGGAAUUCCGCGUGUAGCAGUGAAAUGCGUAGAGAUGCGGAGGAACACCGAUGGCGAAGGCAGCCCCCUGGGUCGACACUGACACUCAGGCACGAAAGCGUGGGGAGCAAACAGG
rnacentral:rRNA from 1 species